UUUUUAAUUACGCUCUGUGAGUAUUUGGAAAGAUUCACGAAACUUAAAAUGUCAAAAGAGCAAUCUCUGUUGAUAUGUGUUCCAAAGAUCAUAGGAGAUAAUGGAGAGGUGCAACUAGAGUGCAGGCAAUUGUCGAACCCAGAUGAACUAGAAUCGAGUCAACAAUGAGAGAUUGAAUCCAAUUAAAAAAAACUAACCGGAAAAAGAAAAAAAUUUGAAAUGAAAAAUUUACCCCUGAUUUAAGUUGAUACUCUCAUCCGUUAGAUAUAAACUUCAAGAUGGACGGUUGAGAUGGAUCCUUGC
rnacentral:lncRNA from 1 species